UCAGCACAAAGUCUGUCUGGGGCUCGAACCCACGAACCAUGAGAUCAUGACCUGAGCUGAAGUCAGACGCUUAACCAACUGAGUUACCCGGGUGCCCCAAAUUCACAUUCUUUACAGGUUUUAACUGUCCUUCUCGCUUUUCUGCACAGGUUUCUGUGGGGAUGCCUGGGAUGGGAGUAGAGACACCCACAGACAAACAGGAACAGGAGCCAGGUGCAUUGAAGGUUAGGAAAGAUGGUCCCUACCUCCUUCCCUCACAUCUGGAAUCAGAGACUUACAUUAGAAAUCUGGCUGUACUGCUUCCUAGUGGUAUGACCUUGGGCAGGUGACUGAGCCUUCAUUUCUUCAUCUGUAAAAUGGGAAUAAUAAUGCUCACCAUCACCGAGGAUUCUUGUGGCACUUCAGUGAAAGAAUUUGUCCAUUCUUUUACUGAACACAUAUUUAGCACCUACUAUGUGGUAGGCCCGGUGCCAGGUGCUGGCAUUACAGCACUGAAUUAGACAGGCAUGAUCCCUACUGUCUCUUGGAACUUCCAUUCCAGUAGAGAAGACAGACAAUAAACAAACAAACAAAUGAGAUAAUUACAGAUUGUGUUAAAGUGCUGUGAAGGAAACAAACAGUAGGACAUGAAGGAGGCUAACUGGAGGUGGGGGAAAGGAAGGGGCUGCCUUACUCACUGUGGCCUGAGUAGCUUAUCUGAGGAAACCUGGAGAUGUAGAGCUCAGAACAGAGCAUUCCAGGCGAAGGAAAGGGCAGCUGCCAAGGCCCUGGGGUGGGAGACAAUAUAAAGGGGUUAGCCUGAUGCCUCUAAGAUGCUAAGCUUCCUGAGGGCAGGAAACUAGGUCUCUUACCUCUCCCGACCGGCUGGACAAAUACAGGGUAAGAUGUAUAGAAAUGGAGGGGAUUUUCCAGCUUGCUGGUCCAACUUCCUCCCCACCCGCAGCCCCUGGAGUGGUGUUGGGGGGUUGCUGGCCUCAUCAGUAGGUCCAUCUGCACAGCUUAAUCUGUACUCCAGCUGUUCUGUACAGGAAAGUCCUCUGCCCACUCCUGCUCCUUUCCCAGGGUUCCCAAUCCUCUCCUCAGACAGGAGGGGCAGGUUGGGGUCCCUCCAGAAUCUGCCGGUCCAGAGUCUGGACUGAACAGAAUUUAGUAUCUGACCUGCAGGGGCUGCGGGGGAGGAUGUGUCCCUGAUGAAUAUCACCAAGUGUUUUAGGAUCAUUGGGGCCUUUUGGGAGUCUCCCCCUUGGUCUGGGUCUCCCUUCAGGGAAAGAAACCUCGAAGAAAGAUUUCUUGCACAUGGGUACGUUUCACAAGCAGCAACUGGCACCCCCACCCCGCCCCGUGCUGCAGAGCACACACAGCUCCUCUCACACACUCACCAUCCAGCUGCACACUGCGUCUCCAUGGCAACCAGUAGGCCUGGUCCACGGAUGUUAGAAAUAAGUGCCAGAGGAAGAGAAGAGAGAGAGGGAGAGACAGAGGAGAAACAUCAGAAAUAAAGAGACUCAGAAAGACAGCCUCCCAAGGAGGACCCCACUCUUUCCUUGCACCCCCCCCCCCCCCCCCCCCCCCCCCCCCCCCCCCCCCCGCCAGAGACUCUUGAAUGGACUCAAGGCCUGAGGAUGGAGGGGCUCAAGACGGGGACUAAGCAGUGGGCUGGGGACUGUCUGGAAACAGGAGAGACCUCGCUGGAGUCUGUGGAGCUUGGCUUCUGGAGCUGGACUGUCUGGACUGCCUUGAACAAGUCACUUAACCUCUCUGAGCAUCAGUUUCUUAGCUAUGAAAUGGGGAUAAUAAAUCCUAAAUUUUUUGUGUGGAUUUAAGGCGAUGGUGCAUGUAACCAGCUUAGUCCAAUAAAUUGUAAGCGCUCAAUAAAUGCAACUUUUCUCAUCA